UACCAGACUCCUACGGGAGGCAGCAGCGGGGGAUAUUGCACAAUGGGGGAAACCCUGAUGCAGCGACGCCGCGUGUGGGAAGACGGUACUCUGGAUUGUAAACCACUGUCCCCAGGGACGAAAAUGACGGUACCUGGGGAGGAAGCUCCGGCUAACUACGUGCCAGCAGCCGCGGUAAUACGUAGAGAGCGAGCGUUAAUCGGAAUUACUGGGCGUAAAGCGCACGUAGGCUGUAUGACAAGUCAAGGGUGAAAUGCCACGGCUCAACCGUGGAACUGCCUUUGAAACUGUCAAACUGGAGUAUGUGAGAGGGCGGCGGAAUUCCUGGUGUAGGAGUGAAAUCCGUAGAUAUCAGGAGGAACAUCAGUGGCGAAGGCGGCCGCCUGGCACAAAACUGACGCUGAGGUGCGAAAGCGUGGGUAGCAAACAGGAUUAG
rnacentral:rRNA from 1 species